GCUGGCGGCGUGCUUAACACAUGCAAGUCGAACGAUGAAGCCCAGCUUGCUGGUUGGAUUAGUGGCGAACGGGUGAGUAACACGUGGGUGAUCUGCCCUGCACUCUGGGAUAAGCCUGGGAAACUGGGUCUAAUACCGGAUAUGACCUCGGGAUGCAUGUUCUGGGGUGGAAAGUUUUUCGGUGCAGGAUGAGCCCGCGGCCUAUCAGCUUGUUGGUGGGGUAAUGGCCUACCAAGGCGACGACGGGUAGCCGGCCUGAGAGGGCGACCGGCCACACUGGGACUGAGACACGGCCCAGACUCCUACGGGAGGCAGCAGUGGGGAAUAUUGCACAAUGGGCGCAACUGGAUGCAGCGACGCCGCGUGAGGGAUGACGGCCUUCGGGUUGUAAACCUCUUUCACCCAUGACGAAGCGCAAGUGACGGUAGUGGGGAGAAGAAGCACCGGCCAACUACGUGCCAGCAGCCGCGGUAAUACGUAGGGUGCGAGCGUUGUCCGGAAUUACUGGGCGUAAAGAGCUCGUAGGCGGUUUGUCGCGUCGUCUGUGAAAUCCCGCAGCUCAACUGCGGGCUUGCAGGCGAUACGGGCAGACUCGAGUACUGCAGGGGAGACUGGAAUUCCUGGUGUAGCGGUGAAAUGCGCAGAUAUCAGGAGGAACACCGGUGGCGAAG
rnacentral:rRNA from 1 species